rnacentral:rRNA from 1 species
GUGGGGAAUCUUGCGCAAUGGGCGAAAGCCUGACGCAGCCAUGCCGCGUGAAUGAUGAAGGUCUUAGGAUUGUAAAAUUCUUUCACCGGGGACGAUAAUGACGGUACCCGGAGAAGAAGCUCCGGCUAACUUCGUGCCAGCAGCCGCGGUAAUACGAAGGGGGCUAGCGUUGCUCGGAAUUACUGGGCGUAAAGGGCGCGUAGGCGGACAGCUUAGUCAGAGGUGAAAGCCCAGGGCUCAACCUUGGAAUUGCCUUUGAUACUGGCUGUCUUGAGUUUGGGAGAGGUGAGUGGAACUCCGAGUGUAGAGGUGAAAUUCGUAGAUAUUCGGAAGAACACCGAUUGCGAAGGCAAUCCCCUGGACCUGUACUGACGCUCAUGCACGAAAGCGUGGGGAGCAAACAGGAUUAGAAACCCUUGUAGUCC